rnacentral:rRNA from 1 species
AAAGAUUAAUAUCCGAUGGGUAUAUUAAAACCGCAUGGUUUUACUAUUAAGAAAUUUCGGUUAAUCGAUGGGGAUGCGUUCCAUUAGUUUGUUGGCGGGGUAACGGCCCACCAAGACUACGAUGGAUAGGGGUUCUGAGAGGAAGCUCCCCCACAUUGGAACUGAGACACGGUCCAAACUCCUACGGGAGGCAGCAGUGAGGAAUAUUGGUCAAUGGACGAGAGUCUGAACCAGCCAAGUAGCGUGAAGGAUGACUGCCCUAUGGGUUGUAAACUUCUUUUAUAUGGGAAUAAAGUAUUCCACGUGUGGAAUUUUGUAUGUACCAUAUGAAUAAGGAUCGGCUAACUCCGUGCCAGCAGCCGCGGUAAUACGGAGGAUCCGAGCGUUAUCCGGAUUUAUUGGGUUUAAAGGGAGCGUAGGUGGACAGUUAAGUCAGUUGUGAAAGUUUGCGGCUCAACCGUAAAAUUGCAGUUGAUACUGGCUGUCUUGAGUACAGUAGAGGUGGGCGGAAUUCGUGGUGUAGCGGUGAAAUGCUUAGAUAUAAAGAAGAACUCCGAUUGCGAAGGCAGCUCACUGGACUGCAACUGACACUGAUGCUCGAAAGUGUGGGUAUCAAACAGGAUUAGAUACCCUGGUAGUCCACACAGUAAACGAUGAAUACUCGCUGUUUGCGAUAUACAGUAAGCGGCCAAGCGAAAGCAUUAAGUAUUCCACCUGGGGAGUACGCCGGCAACGGUGAAACUCAAAGGAAUUGACGGGGGCCCGCACAAGCGGAGGAACAUGUGGUUUAAUUCGAUGAUACGCGAGGAACCUUACCCGGGCUUAAAUUGCAGAGGAAGGAUUUGGAGACAAUGACGCCCUUCGGGGCCUCUGUGAAGGUGCUGCAUGGUUGUCGUCAGCUCGUGCCGUGAGGUGUCGGCUUAAGUGCCAUAACGAGCGCAACCCCUCUCCUUAGUUGCCAUCAGGUCAAGCUGGGCACUCUGGGGACACUGCCACCGUAAGGUGUGAGGAAGGUGGGGAUGACGUCAAAUCAGCACGGCCCUUACGUCCGGGGCUACACACGUGUUACAAUGGCAGGUACAGAGAGACGGUCCCUUGCAAAAUGGAUCAAAUCCUUAAAACCUGUCUCAGUUCGGACUGGGGUCUGCAACCCGACCCCACGAAGCUGGAUUCGCUAGUAAUCGCGCAUCAGCCAUGGCGCGGUGAAUACGUUCCCGGGCCUUGCACACACCGCCCGUCAAG